rnacentral:rRNA from 1 species
GGAUCCAGACUUUGAUUAUGGCUCAGGACGAACGCUGGCGGCGCGCCUAACACAUGCAAGUCGAACGAGCGAAGAGAAGCUUGCUUCUCUGAGCGAGUGGCGAACGGGUGAGUAACGCGUGAGGAACCUGCCUCAAAGAGGGGGACAACAGUUGGAAACGACUGCUAAUACCGCAUAAGCCCACGGGUCGGCAUCGACCAGAGGGAAAAGGAGCAAUCCGCUUUGAGAUGGCCUCGCGUCCGAUUAGCUAGUUGGUGAGGUAAUGGCCCACCAAGGCGACGAUCAGUAGCCGGACUGAGAGGUUGAACGGCCACAUUGGGACUGAGACACGGCCCAGACUCCUACGGGAGGCAGCAGUGGGGAAUAUUGCACAAUGGGGGAAACCCUGAUGCAGCGACGCCGCGUGGAGGAAGAAGGUCUUCGGAUUGUAGACUCCUGUUGUU